rnacentral:rRNA from 1 species
CCCUUAGACGUUCUGGGCCGCACGCGCGCUACACUGACCAGCGCAACAAGCAUCCGUCCUUGGCCGACAGGCCCGGGCAAUCUUUGAACGCUGGUCGUGAUGGGGAUAGACUUUUGCAAUUUUUGGUCUUCAACGAGGAAUUCCUAGUAAACGCAAGUCAUCAACUUGCAUUGAUUACGUCCCUGCCCUUUGUACACACCGCCCGUCGCACCUACCGAUUGAAUGGUCCGGUGAAGCCUCCGGAUUGGCGCGCACCUCGGUGCCGCCGAGAAGUUGGCUAAACCUUACCAUUUAGAGGAAGGUGAAGUCGUANCA